rfam:Cryptococcus bestiolae CBS 10118 unplaced genomic scaffold supercont1.3, whole genome shotgun sequence.
AUCUACGGUCAUUGAAUGAAGAAAGUUCCGCAUCCCGUACGCUCUGCGAAGACAAGCUUCAUAUCGUUCGAGCAGUACCAUGUUGGGGGACCACAUGGGAAUGUCGAAUGCUGUAGUUU